rnacentral:sRNA from 1 species
UUUUUUUUUUUUUACUAAAAAUACUUUUUUUGAUUUUUAAAAUAAAAUAUUAUUUUCUUAUUAAGUAUACAUAAUAUUUUUAUUUUUUAUUUUUAAGUGUUAAAUUUUAGAUGUGUGUAAACUAAUCGGACACAACAUCCCGUCCAUAAUAUGAGGUCCUUCAGCGGUGUCCUAAGUUCAACAUGUUUACACAUCAUUUGAAUUUAACACUUUCUUUAUUUUCAU